rnacentral:lncRNA from 1 species
AGGUCCUAGUCCACGAUUACUUGCGCCUUAUACCCAGAGGUCUCUUUUUAAGGGCCGGCCUGCGCCUUAUACCCAGAGGUCUCUUUUUAAGGGCCGGCCUGCGCCUUAUACCCAGAGGUCUCUUUUUAAGGGCCGGCCUGCGCCUUAUACCCAGAGGUCUCUUUUUAAGGGCCGGCCUGCGCCUUAUACCCAGAGGUCUCUUUUUAAGGGCCGGCCUGCGCCUUAUACCCAGAGGUCUCUUUUUAAGGGCCGGCCUGCGCCUUAUACCCAGAGGUCUCUUUUUAAGGGCCGGCAUAAGUAUGUUUUGAUCUUCAAGACAACAGCAUGAGACCUGAGAUUUCUUGAUGUUCAGGAUCUGAUGACUCAUGUUGAGUGAUACUAUAUUUUUAGAUGCUGAUUUUCAAUUAGGUUUGGCAAUGCUAAUGCCUCUAUUCAUCAGUGGUAUAACCAUCCUAAAUAGGUUACGAAAUAUACCCCCUAUCCCUGAACCAUACAUAGUCGGGGUUUCAUGAUAACCUUGGGGUGACAGGUAGCCUAGUGGUUAGAGUGUUGGGCCAGUAACUGAAUGGUUGCUAGAUUGAAUCCCCGAGCUGACAAGGUAAAAAUCUGUUGUUCUGCCCCUGAACAAGGCAGUUAACCCACUGUUCCUAGGCUGUCAUUGUAAAUAAAAAUUUGUUCAUAACUGAUUUGCCUAGUUAAAUUAAAAUAACUGGGUAAUCCAUUACCCACUUGAUCCACAUAGUAUGUUACAUAGUGUAUAGAGACGGUGGUUGUGUACCAUAACAAUUGUUUAUUGUGAUUAUACGUAAUAUUUUUUUAGAUAUGUAGAGAAACUUUGAAAGGUCUAAAUUGGAGUUUAACAAUCACUUCACCAUAAGUAAACACUAUAUUUUGGUUCUGAUCUAUUUUAAUCUGAUCCUGAAUGUUUUCAAUAUAUUUCUUGAUUACAGGUACAUAGUGUGACUUGUCAUAGUUAACAAUGAUUCCAUCCCCAUCCUUUCCAUCUAUAUGAACUGUUCUCAGGACUGGUACAUAACUGUCUCCUACACUUUGAUAGGAUAUGAUGUCAGUAUACACCAACAUGUUGUUAAACCCUGCAUGUAUAUCCACAGGGUAUGUUGUUAAACCCUGCAUGUAUAUCCACAGGGUAUGUUGUUAAACCCUGCAUGUAUAUCCACAGGGUAUGUUGUUAAACCCUGCAUGUAUAUCCACAGGGUAUGUUGUUAACCUCUAUGGGCUAGGCGGGACGAAUUCGUCCCACCUACGUAACAGCCACUUGAAGCCUGUGGCGCGAUUUUCAAAACCUUAAAAAUCCUAUUACUUCAAUUUCUCAAACAUAUGACUAUUUUACAGCUAUUUAAAGACA